CGUGCGCACGCGCCGAAUUCCGCAAGGGAACCGGGGAACCACGUUCCUUGGGGUGAAUCGGGCCGCUUCGUCCGCGAAGAGGCCCGUAGGAGACCUUCCUGCUCCGAACCCGUCAGCUAACCCGGUAGGCGAGAAGGAAGGAAAGG
rnacentral:sRNA from 1 species